CGACUGGAAACGGUCGCUAAUACCGCAUAAUGUCUUUUAGUAGGGAUACUAGAAGAAGAAAACUCUGGUGCUUCAGGAGGGGUCUGCGUCCGAUUAGCUAGUUGGUGAGGUAAAGGCUCACCAAGGCCGACGAUCGGUAGCUGGUCUGAGAGGACGAUCAGCCACACGGGAACUGAGACACGGUCCCGACUCCUACGGGGGGCAGCAGUGAGGAAUAUUGCCCCAAUGGGGGAAACCCUGAGGCAGCAACGCCGCGUGGAGGAAGAAGGUCUUUACGAUCGUAAACUUCUUUUGUGAGGGAAGAGGAAGGACGGUACCUCAUGAAUAAGUCACGGCUAACUACGUGCCAGCAGCCGCGGUAAUACGUAGGUGACGAGCGUUAUCCGGAAUUACUGGGCGUAAAGCGUACGCAGGCGGCAUGGUAAGUCUGACGUGAAAUCUCCUGGCUUAACUGGGAGAGGUCGUUGGAGACUGCUGUGCUUGAGACAAUGAGAGGGGGUGCAGAAUUCCCGGUGUAGUGGUG
rnacentral:rRNA from 1 species